AUGGCUGGUUCUGGAGGACCUCUUGUCAAUUACAAUGGUCAAGUUCUUGGUAUUAACUUUUAUGAAGACAAUCAAACAUCGUACCUUCCAGUGUUAAUUGUUUCAAGGAUCCUGGAACAACACCAUAGCUUCGGGAAAUUAAUUAGCCCUUGGCUUGGUUUAAGGUAUACUUCUCUUCAUAUGGUGACACUGGCAGUCCUGGAGCGUAUCUAUAGAAAAUUCCCAGAUGUUGACCAGGGUUUAUAUGUUUCAAAGGUUGUUGAGGGAUCACCUGCUGAUGUUGCUGGAUUAUGUGUCGGUGAUGUUAUUGUAAAAUGUGGUGAAAAGGUUCUCUCGAGUGUUCCAGAGUUUGGUGCAAUAUUACUGGAUGCUGCCGUAAGUCAUAUUGAAGCUUAUGGAGGUUGUGAUGGGGGCAUGGCAAUUGAGGUUGUAAUAAAGCGACAAGGAGAUGGCAGCACGGUGUCAAAAACUAUAGCUGCAGAGAUGCUGGAAGAGAGCAAUUACAACAGGUGGCCUGCGCCGAUGCCAAACUACAAGAUGCGCGUCGUAAAUGUC
rnacentral:rRNA from 1 species